UACGGGGGGGCAAGCGUUGUUCGGAAUUACUGGGCGUAAAGGGCCAGUAGGCGGCCAACUAAGUCGGAUGUGAAAUCCCCAGGCUUAACCUGGGAACUGCAUCCGAUACUGGAUGGCUUGAAUUCGGGAGAGGGAUGCAGAAUUCCAGGUGUAGCGGUGAAAUGCGUAGAUAUCUGGAGGAAUACCGGUGGCGAAGGCGGCAUCCUGGACCGACAUUGACGCUGAGGAGCGAAAGCGUGGGGAGCAAACAGGG
rnacentral:rRNA from 1 species